GAUGAACGCUGGCGGCGUGCCUAAUACAUGCAAGUCGAGCGAACAGACGAGGAGCUUGCUCCUCUGACGUUAGCGGCGGACGGGGGAGUAACACGUGGAUAACCUACCUAUACGACUGGGAUAACUUCGGGAAACCGGAGCUAAUACCGGAUAAUAUAUUGAACCGCAUGGUUCAAUAGUGAAAGACGGUUUUGCUGUCACUUAUAGAUGGAUCCGCGCCGCAUUAGCUAGUUGGUAAGGUAACGGCUUACCAAGGCAACGAUGCGUAGCCGACCUGAGAGGGUGAUCGGCCACACUGGAACUGAGACACGGUCCAGACUCCUACGGGAGGCAGCAGUAGGGAAUCUUCCGCAAUGGGCGAAAGCCUGACGGAGCAACGCCGCGUGAGUGAUGAAGGUCUUCGGAUCGUAAAACUCUGUUAUUAGGGAAGAACAAAUGUGUAAGUAACUAUGCACGUCUUGACGGUACCUAAUCAGAAAGCCACGGCUAACUACGUG
rnacentral:rRNA from 1 species